rnacentral:rRNA from 1 species
GACGAACGCUGGCGGCGUGCUUAACACAUGCAAGUCGAACGGAAAGGCCCUGCUUUUGUGGGGUGCUCGAGUGGCGAACGGGUGAGUAACACGUGAGUAACCUGCCCUUGACUUUGGGAUAACUUCAGGAAACUGGGGCUAAUACCGGAUAGGAGCUCCUGCUGCAUGGUGGGGGUUGGAAAGUUUCGGCGGUUGGGGAUGGACUCGCGGCUUAUCAGCUUGUUGGUGGGGUAGUGGCUUACCAAGGCUUUGACGGGUAGCCGGCCUGAGAGGGUGACCGGCGACAUUGGGACUGAGCUACGGCCCAGACUCCUACGGGAGGCAGCAGUGGGGUAUAGUGCACAAUGGGCGGAAGCCUGAUGCAGCAACGCCGCGUGCGGGAUGACGGCCUUCGGGUUGUAAACCGCUUUCGCCUGUGACGAAGCGUGAGUGACGGUAAUGGGUAAAGAAGCACCGGCUAACUACGUG